rnacentral:misc_RNA from 1 species
AACAAGGCGUACCUGCGGACCUGCGGAGGGAUCAUUACCGAGUUUACAACUCCCAAACCCAAUGUGAACGUUACCAAACUGUUGCCUCGGCGGGAUCUCUGCCCCGGGUGCGUCGCAGCCCCGGACCAAGGCGCCCGCCGGAGGACCAACCAAAACUCUUUUGUAUACCCCCUCGCGGGUUUUUUAUAUCUGAGCCAUCUCGGCGCCUCUCGUAGGCGUUUCGAAAAUGAAUCAAAACUU